rnacentral:telomerase_RNA from 1 species
GCGGUUUUUGAGGAUGUUUUUUUGUCCGCUUCUCAUCUUGCCCUCCUGCGCAUCACUGAUCGUUAGGAGAGGAAACAAAAACUAGUC